rnacentral:rRNA from 1 species
UAACUUUUAGCAACGGAUCUCUUGGCUCUCGCAUCGAUGAAGAACGCAGCGAAAUGCGAUAAGUAAUGUGAAUUGCAGAAUUCAGUGAAUCAUCGAAUCUUUGAACGCACCUUGCGCCUUUUGGGUUCGCCCUGGGCAUGCUGGUUUGAGCGCCUUA